rnacentral:rRNA from 1 species
AUUGAACGCUAGCGGCAUGCUUUACACAUGCAAGUCGAACGAGUGGCGGACGGGUGAGAUAUAUAUCGGAACGCGCCCAGUAGCGGGGGAUCACUACUCGACAGAGUGGCUAAUACCGCAUACUCUUGGAGCGGCCGAUAUCGGAUGAGCUAGUUGGUGGGGUAAGGGCGCACCAAGGCGACGAUCCGUAGCUGGUUUGAGAGGAUGACCAGCCACACUGGGACUGAGACACGGCCCAGACUCCUACGGGAGGCAGCAGUGGGGAAUUUUGGACAAUGGGCGAAACCCUGAUCCAGCCAUCCCGCGUGUAUGAGAAGGCCUUCGGGUUGUAAAGUACUUUCGGCAGAGAAGCGUUAUCUGCAGAAUAAGCACCGGCUAACUACGUGCCAGCAGCCGCGGUAAUUC